GUGGAACUGGGACAGAUUUAAUGCAGAGAAAGACUAGGACUUGGUGGAAUGCUGGAAGGUUGGUGACAAAGUGGGAGAAGAUUGCUGGGAUUCCAGACACAAGCUCAGUGUGUACGAGGCCAAUUCCACGGACACGCACAAUACCAAGGCUGGGACCCAAGCUUAGUAGCCAGUUAAUAGAGACCUUGUUUUGGACAUCAAAUUCAUACUUUUUGAGCGUACCAAAGUGCCAGACACACAUAAUGAUCAAGAAGAUGAAUGAAAGGGCAAUUGGGACCCAGGCCCCUUCCAGGAACUUUAUGAGGGAAGCAGUG
rnacentral:misc_RNA from 1 species